rnacentral:lncRNA from 1 species
CUGCCACCACACCUGGCUAAUUUUUAUAUUUUUAGUAGAGAUGAGGUUUCGCCAUAUCGGCCAGGUUGGUCUCAAACUCCCGACCUCAGGUGAUCUGCCCGCCUCAGCCUGCCAAAGUGCUGGGAUUACAGGCGUGAGCCACCACGACUUGCCUUGUAUGUAAGCUUCUUAAACUCAGUAGGAGCCCAAACAACACAAGCACUUACUGCUGUUAUGAGGCAAUUUACUGAGCUGGUGUCCCCUGGAGGUGUCUGUCCACUGCUCAUCUUAUCUAUUCUCUGGACACCUAACUGAAUUGCUGAGUGGCCCCAUCUGGGCCUCAGCUCCACCAGGGUAAGGUGGGCACCCCUCAGGCUCUAGCUAGAACAAACUGCAUGUGUGGAAAUCAGUAUCAGGCUUCUGGGAAACACUGGCCUACCCGGACCCAGUGACCAAUUCCAGGAAACAAGGAAACACUAAGAAAAGCCCACCUGGUCAGGUGCGGUGGCUCACGCCUGUAAUCCCAGCACUUUGGGAGGC